AAUAACAGGUUACUGCUACCCCAGCAAGAUUCUACACACACGCUCAGUGGGUUGGGUCAGUCAGAGACUAGCGGCAUGAGGGUCUUGUGUACACUCACACAAAACAUUCGGCGUAUGGUGGCUCCGUUCUUUGGAUACAGUGCUGAUGUGGUAGGAGGGACAUGAAACAAAUACCUUAUUUACAACGUAGUCAACUAGUAUGGAUUAAGUGACACCGUGUCAAGGGGAUUAACUGACACCGUGUAAGGAGGAUUAACGGUCUCGCUGUAUGGAAUAGCUGGCACCAUAUGUGAAUUAUUCAAUAUCGUGUAUGGAUUAACAACCUUCUGUAUGGAUUAACAACCUCCUGUAUGGAUUAACAUACACCCUGUAUGGAUUAACAUACACCCUGUAUGGAUUAACUACCUCCUGUAUGGAUUAACGAGCCCCGUGGCGGCCAUGAUGAUGUCAGCACUGGAGCAGACGCCGGAGAUGUACGACUGGUGCUACGGCUCGACAUGGCGCACCGCCUACAGUCAGCUGAUCAAGUCCAGGUCCACGGCCGAGCUCAACCUGAGUGUAGACACCAAC